AUUGAACGCUGGCGGCAGGCCUAACACAUGCAAGUCGAGCGCGCGGCGGACGGGUGAGGAAAGUCUGGGAAACUGCCUGAUGGAGGGGGAUAAAUACUGUAAACGGUAGCUAAUAUCGCAUAUCCCAAGAACUGUCCAGAUGGGAUUAGCUAGUUGGGGGGGGAAUAGCUCACCUAGGCGACGAUCCCUAGCGGGUCUGAGAGGAUGACCAGCCACACUGGAACUGAGACACGGUCCAGACUCCUACGGGAGGCAGCAGUGGGGAAUAUUGCACAAUGGGCGCAAGCCUGAUGCAGCCAUGCCGCGUGUGUGAAGAAGGCCUUCGGGUUGUAAAGCACUUUCAGCGGGGAGGCGUUACCCGCAGAAGAAGCACCGGCUAACUCCGUGCCAGCCGCCGAGGUAAUUC
rnacentral:rRNA from 1 species